GUUCCUUUCCAAAGCCUCGCCGCCGCCGCUUCUUCUUUCCUGCCUUUCCUUUCCAAGAUUAUAAUGCCAAAAUCUUCAGUACGUUUAAGCUUCCUCCUCGCUCUUUGCUUAUUUUCUUGUAAGUUUGUAGUUUUCUUACUCUUAGUUUCAAUGCCAAAGGGGAAGAGAAUAAAAAAUUGAAUGAAAAGAAGGAGAUGGAGAUUUCAGAAGCUGGUGCUAGAUCCUCCAAAGCGUGUGGCCAGCAUCAUUUCUAGCUCAAGGUGGCUUUUUUUGAUGUGGUUGCUCUUCAUCUUUUAAAAAAAAAAAUCUACAAGAAAAUGUUUAUCCUCCGUCAGUUCAGCAAACUGAACAAUAUGAAACAUUUUUGGGUUUGAUGGAAGCCUUUGAAUAUGAUGGCGAGGCUUCUCCGAAAUGCUUCUUCUCUCGGAUGCCUCUGUUUUUGCAACCCCUCUCUCCGCAUUAAUUACAUCGCAGAAUUGUGGCGGUUUGGGGGAUUUGUUGUUGUUGCUUCAAUGAACAAAGAAAAGAAUAUCCCUAAGGACGAUAAAAGUUUACUUGGUAGAAGAAAAUCCAAGUCAGAUGUCAAAGAAAGAUUUGGUGCUCAAGUACUAUCAGAUCACUGCAUCAUUUGGAAAAGGUUCUAUCAUGUGGCUUGGCCGCUCUGCCCCUGUCAAACAAGUUCCAGUUGUGUCCACAGCUUCAUUUGCUUUGGAUAUUGCAUUUGGGAUUGGAGGACUUCCAAAGAAACUUAAUGCGACAAUCCUGACAGGUGAUUUUACUAAAUUGGAUUUUGAAUCCUACCUUCCAGAGGAUAUAAUCAAUUGGGGAGCAUUGGAUACAGCACUGAGUAGUUCCUUUUGAAGUUAAGAAAGCAGCAGUUUCACGUAAGCAAGAAUUGGCUUAGAUAGCAUACACUCAUCUUGAGAUAUAUCGUUGGCGACCCAGCCAUCCUCCGUUAUACUUGUUGCUCCUGAUGUUUUGGAGGUGCGCCAGCUUGAUUGUUGGUUGGUUUCUAUCUAUUGCUGAUCCGGUUAUUCUUUUACCCCCUGUUCGUGAUCCAAUUCUUACUGCGAUCUCCAGCGUUGCAUCAUUUACUCGAUUCGAUCGAGCAACCGCCUGGAUUAAGGGCCGUGUUGAAAUUGCCUGUCCGAUGACUCGCUUUUGGCAUCUCGCCUGUCCCCUUUCCUUAUUCCCAUUUUUUUGUUGUACAGUUUUUUGGCCUAUAUAAACAGGUUUGCCGUCGCCUAGAACGGAAAAUCCUGUUGUGUUAUAUAAAGCAUUCCUCUGAUGUGAUUAGGUCAACAGCCAUCGCCAAGUUCACAGUUGUUACUUGUUACUUGUGUUAGGAUUAAAGCUGCUUUGAAGAUUGCCCUGUUGCCCUUGUUUAUUGAGGAUGUUGAUCUUUUGAACCUUUGAGGAUGCUGUUAUGUAUGGACUAUAUUUUGUCUGUUAAGAUACUUUUUUCCUUGCUCUGUACUUCGGUUGCUUGUAAUGAAUGAGGAGCCUGUA